UACGUAGGGCGCAAGCGUUGUCCGGAAUUAUUGGGCGUAAAGAGCGAUGUAGGCGGCCAGAUAAGUCCGCUGUGAAAUCUCGAGGCUCAACUUCGAGCUGUCGGUGGAAACUGUCUGGCUAGAGUCCGGAAGAGGAGAGUGGAAUUCCUGGUGUAGCGGUGAAAUGCGCAGAUAUCAGGAAGAACACCUAUGGCGAAGGCAGCUCUCGUGGGACGGUACUGACGCUGAGACGCGAAAGCGUGGGAG
rnacentral:rRNA from 1 species